GAAACUCAAAUGAAGUUCGACGGGGGCCCGCGACAAGCGGUGGAGCGAUGUGGUUUAAUUCGAAGCAACGCGAAGAACCUUACCAGGCCUUGACAUGCAGAGAACUUUCCAGAGAUGGAUUGGUGCCUUCGGGAACUCUGACACAGGUGCUGCAUGGCUGUCGUCAGCUCGUGUCGUGAGAUGUUGGGUUAAAGUCCCGCAACGAGCGCAACCCUUGCCUUUAGUUGCCAGCAGUUCGGCUGGGCACUCUAAAGGGACUACCGGUGUUAAACCGGAGGAAGUGGGGAUGACGUCAAGUCCUCAUGGCCUUUAUGACCAGGGCUACACACGUACUACAAUGGCCGAUACAAAGGGCAGCGACACUGCGAGGUGAAGCCAAUCCCGUAAAAUCGGUCUCAGUCCGGAUUGGAGUCUGCAACUCGACUCCAUGAAGUUGGAAUCGCUAGUAAUCGUGGAUCAGCAUGCCACGGUGAAUACGUUCCCGGGCCUU
rnacentral:rRNA from 1 species